rnacentral:tRNA from 1 species
GCCCCGGUAGCUCAGUGGAUAGAGCGACGGCCUCCGGAGCCGUGCGCGCAGGUUCGAUUCCUGCUCGGGGUAC